CCUACGGGUGGCAGCAGUGGGGAAUAUUUCACAAUGGGGGAAACCCUGAUGCAGCGACGCCGCGUGAGUGAAGAAGUAAUUCGUUAUGUAAAGCUCUAUCAGCAGGGAAGAAAAUGACGGUACCUGAGUAAGAAGCCCCGGCUAACUACGUGCCAGAAGCCGCGGUAAUACGUAGGGGGCAAGCGUUAUCCGGAUUUACUGGGUGUAAAGGGGGCGUAGACGGCAGUGCAAGUCUGGAGUGAAAGGCGGGGGCUCAACCCCCGGACUGCUCUGGAAACUGUACGGCUUGAGUGCAGGAGAGGUAAGUGGAAUUCCUAGUGUAGCGGUGAAAUGCGUAGAUAUUAGGAGGAACACCGGCGGCGAAGGCGGCCUGCUGGACCGUAACUGACGUUGAGGCUCGAAAGCGUGGGGAGCAAACAGGAUUAGAUACCCCGGUAGUC
rnacentral:rRNA from 1 species